GUAGCGGUGAAAUGCUUAGAGAUUACAUGGAAUACCAAUUGCGAAGGCAGGUUACUACUAAUGGAUUGACGCUGAUGGACGAAAGCGUGGGUAGCGAACAGGAUUAGAUACCCUGGUAGUCCACGCCGUAAACGAUGGAUACUAGCUGUUGGGA
rnacentral:rRNA from 1 species